GCUGGAGAAGGGCAGCUGAGGACCAGAAACUGGGGACUUAGGGAGUGGGUGGCUGGUAUAACUCUGCCAAGUGAGAGGCUGGGUAUAUAGGGAAGACACUGGAGCUGCCAUUGGUGCUGAGGAGUCUGCUACACAGAAAGCAACAGACAGCAACAUCUGCAGAGUGGAUCUCUUGGAGAUGACAUCAGGAGCUUGUGGCUUAUGUGGACGCUCACUGGAUUUGGAAUGCAGACCAAAUCUUUAAAGAUGUGUCCAGAUGCCACUGCACACCAUGCUGGAAGGACGAAGGGGAGACCAGAACCGGUGAGGUCUGCAGAAUCCUGGACUGGCUGGGAG